CUCGUCUUCUCUUCUCUUCGCCUUCCCCCACACCUCUCCCGUGGUCGUCCUUCUGUCCUCGCAUUCAUCCUCAAGCCCCCGCGCUUGUUCGAUUUCUGCUAUUUUCUGCUCCAAGGAGACCGUUGAUUCAUUGUCUUUUUCUUUGGGUUUGUUGGAGCUAGGGUUUGGGUUCGUCGAUGUCGGUUGCGGAGCUGAAGGAGCGGCACAUAGCCGCGACGGCUACGGUCAAUUCUCUGAGGGAGCGGUUGAAGCAGAGGAGGCAGUUGCUUCUUGAUACUGAUGUGGCGGCGUUUGCUAAGAGCCAAGGGAGAUCGGCGAUCAGUUUUAACUCCACGGAUCUGAUUUGCUGCAGGACCUUGCAGGGCCACACUGGCAAGGUUUAUUCAUUGGACUGGACACCUGAAAGGAAUCGGAUAGUUAGUGCUUCACAAGAUGGGAGACUGAUUGUAUGGAAUGCUUUAACGAGUCAGAAAACACAUGCUAUAAAACUUCAGUGCCCCUGGGUCAUGACCUGUGCAUUUGCGCCGAAUGGGCAGUCUGUUGCAUGUGGAGGACUUGACAGUGCCUGCUCUAUUUUCAAUCUCAAUUCUCAAGUUGACAGAGAUGGCAACAUUCCAGUUUCAAGGAUACUUACCGGGCACAAGGGCUAUGUGUAUUCUUGUCAGUAUGUUCCAGAUCAAGAAACUCGCUUGAUUACCAGUUCAGGCGAUCAAACAUGUGUUCUGUGGGAUGUCACAACUGGCCAAAGGAUUUCUGUUUUUGGUGGUGAAUUUCCUUCAGGACACACAGCUGAUGUAUUGAGUGUCUCAAUUAACAGUUCAAACUCGAACAUGUUUGUCUCUGGUUCAUGUGAUAUGACUGCUCGAUUAUGGGAUACUCGAAUUGCUAGUCGGGCAGUUGGGACAUACCAUGGUCACCAGGGUGAUGUUAACACUGUCAAGUUCUUCCCUGAUGGGCAGAGAUUUGGGACUGGCUCUGAUGACAGUACAUGCAGGUUAUAUGACAUGAGAACUGGGCACCAGCUUCAGGUGUACAGUCAACAGCAUGAAGGUGAUGACAAUGAUGUUCCAAUUGUCACAUCCAUUGCGUUCUCUAUAUCAGGAAGACUUCUAUUCGCUGGAUACUCCAGUGGUGACUGUUAUGUGUGGGAUACACUAAUGGCUGAGGUGGUUCUGAAUUUGGGAACAUCUCAGAAUUCUCAUGAGGCCCGCAUAAGCUGCUUAGGUUUGUCUUCUGAUGGUAGUGCUUUAUGCACAGGAAGCUGGGACAAGAACUUAAAGAUUUGGGCGUUUGGAGGGCAUAGGAAGGUUAUCUGAGUCUCGUCAUUGGUAUUGAUGAUGCGAGCCUUUGAGGAUAUCAAUGUGAAGCUUAACUUGCACUACUUGCAAAGAACAAACGUUGCACGCACGUUGGAGUCAGUUUGUUGUAUCCUCGACUCAAGAGGCCAUACCUGCAUGAUGUUUAGAACCCAAUACUCUGUGGAGCACUGUGUGGUGUAUGUCUGCACAAGAAUCUCAUAUAGAAGUGACUCAUUAUGGAUGGAUAAGAAAAUAUCCUAGCUUAUAAUGGUCUCUAUUCUCUUUUUUCUCACUAUUGGAAUUUUGACAAUUUGUAUUCCCACCUUGACUAUCUGGACUGCCACAAAUGCUGCCCAUACGGAUGAAAGAACUGUUAAUUCCUUCCAGUAGAUGUUAUCCUUUAUAAGUAGCAGCAGUAUAAUAUUGACUGGUAUUAAACAGUGUCAUUCUACAUGGAGAAUUAAAAGGCUGUCUUUAGAUGCUA